UGUUGGUCCUUCCUUCCGGGAACCAAGUUUAUAUACAUGGCUGGAACAUUUUCCCAUGCAGUUAGUUGCAUUGUUUCAAAUAACAUAGAUACAACUUCACCACUUUCCUGAAGAGCCUCAGAAGUUACAAAUCAAUGAGCUGAGAUCAAGGAGAUCAUGCAAGGGAUAAAACGUUGUGUCACAAGGAGGUUGUGGAUAUAAUGGAAUACCAGCAGCAAGAAUGCGGCAAGGAGGUCAGAGUGCUGCUGUUAGGUGACACAGAGAUGGAUGCAAGAGACAACAUGCUCUGCAGAAAGAUAUUGGAUUAAAAGGCCAAAUUGACAGCUGCCAUAGAGUACAACACCCUUGUACCAGAUUCAGCAAUACCAUCGGCAGAUGAGAUCCUUUCCGCAGACCUUCAUGCAUGGCCUUGGGAGCUGCAUGGACAGGACCCGGUACUUCUCAGAUUUGACUUUGUUUGUUCCGGCAUCUAUCUGUCCAGAUCCGGUACCUCUCGCAGCAUGAAUUAUUAAUUGGUUCACUGUUCGUAUUGUAGACAUUCUAAUAAAAG